GGCAUAUCGGAGGAGGAAGAAACUCAACAAGUCCGGGCUUGUCUUCAAGUCACCUGUGGCUUCUGAACCAGAGGCCCCCUCGUUAACUUCCAUGGGGAGGACGGAGGUGAAACAGGCCCCUUAACGCAGGCGGACAGGUGUGAAAUCACGAGACAUUAAAUAAGCAGCGCGACAGUGCGGGCUGCUGCACACCCAGGCUGGUUGUAUAACGGGGAUUCACCUCAGCUGAACUUGACGCAUCUGGUUCAUCGGCGGCGCAGGACGCGCGGCGCAGUCUGCAGCCUGUUUGUCCCCACUGAACCGAGCUGGACGGCCGCGGAGAGAGACACGGACACGGGGGGUGGGGGGAGCACAACUCUUCCGUGGUCCGGUUGCCGCUCACAGAGAUCGUCUCCCACCACGUCCAGACAUGACGACUUUCUCUACAAUUAUUGUCGCCUUGUGCUUUUUAUUUUCUGCUCUAUUUGGGUCCAGACAAUAGGGGGACGAGACACCGUCUAGAAAAUAUAAAGCCCGCGGACUUCGGAGUUUGGGCAUCCCGAAGGAAGAGACCAUCCGACUUGAACUUGAGACCUGUCGGACAAGUGAGGACACAAGCAGACGCCGAACCACGAGGCCUCAGAUACUGCAAUGCAGAGAGGAUAUGUGGACAUGCUGCGUACAGCUACGGAGGGAAUCCAGCACAAUGAGCGGCGGAGAUCUCAGCGCUUUAUCCCGGAUAGCCGACUGACUGCGGUUUGUGUGCCAGUUGCCUCAAAGUCUCAGUGCCUCAUUAUUACGGAAUGACUUAAUUUUUCCUGCUCAGACCCCAGUGUCAAGGCCGAGGAAACCUGAGAGGAAGCGAGCUGACAGACCGCAAAGGACUGAAGCCGUCUCUGCAGAGAGGAGGUGACCUGUCGAGCAUCAGUGACUUUUAAGGAAGUAUUUUGACAGCUUUGAUAUGAUCUCAGUUUGUGACACACAGUUAGUUCACUCUCACAUCAAAUUGGAUAUCCUCUAAAUAUAGGAAGCACAAAAACCACAAUAAAACUACAGUGAUGAUAAUCAAAAAUACAUGAACCCUACUUACAAAAUCACAAUCAAAAAUUCACAAAUGUCCAAUGAGUUAAAAACAGACUAUUUUUCUUUAUUUAAAAAGGUAUUAAAUAUUAAACGAUUAAAUGUAGUGCAGCAGAUUAAUUCAUCUGUUUAUCUGUGCUUUUGUCGGGCCUUUUGUCGUUUUGAGUUCGUCUCCCCACAGCUCCACUGUCAGCCACCAGAGAAGUCUGCAGGAGACAUACUGUCCUUUGGGGUGAGGUAGUAGGUUGUAUAGUUUUAGGGUCAUUCCCAAGCUGUCAGAUGACUAUACAACUUACUGUCUUUCCUGGAGCGACUGUGAUGGCAGCAGCAUCAUCAUCGUGAAAAUACAACCACUGCAAUUCAUCAGGAAGGAGGCAAUAACUUGUAGCGUGUAGGCUGUCCAUUUUUACUGCCUGACAUUGAUUAGCGCAUGUUUCUGAAAUUUAGACACUUUGUGGAAUUUUAAACAGAACUUUUUAUCCUAUUUUUUGCCUAUUAAAGUGUUUGAAUGUGCUUAUUUUAAUUGCAAAUGCUCUAACAACCUGUCUCCAUUAGCUGCUACUUAGUAUUCGAAUGGUUUUCACUUGUAUCCAAACGCAACAUUUUAACUAAUGUUUUCAUCAUAAUUUUUGCUGCAUGUGUUGUAAUAACUACAACGUCUUCAUCUACACAGCAAGCGGAUCAUCCUCCUACCCACUCGGGUGACUUAUGGUGUUCGUACAGGGUGAGGUAGUAGGUUGUGUGGUUUCAGGGUUGUGAUUUUACCCCAUCAGGAGCUAACUAUACAACCUACUGCCUUCCCUGGAGGGCAGCAAUACAUCACAGGAGGGGAGUGCACGUGUCAUUAGGAAGAAACUGGCUCUCGUUAUGUCAAGAAUGGCUUUUUAUUUCUAAGGUCUCAUUGAAUAGGUGAGUGGUGCCAAAUCACCAAAUGCAUUUCAUUGCAACAUGAGUUACUUUACAGUAUGUAACUGCAUGUAUGAAUGUGUGUAUGGAUUCAUGGAAAGUGCUGUCGACCUUCGAAACUGUAUUUUUAGGAUCAGUGGUGUUCUAACUUUGUACUGUUUUACAAAUAAAUGAAUAAAGACUGGAUAUGAAAUAAUGUAAGAACAAUGA